CCUGCGUGACUGCCAAAUAGAUCAUAAAAUAUUUCCAUACACCAAAUAUAGUUGAACUAUUGCAUAUAGUAUUAGAAAAAAAGACCAAAACUCAAAAAACUUAACUUUGACCACUGAACCAUGAAAAUGAGGUCAAGGUCAGAUGACACCUGCCCGCUAGACAUGUACACCUUACAAUCAUUCCAUACACCAAAUAAAGUAGACCUAUGGCAUACAGUAUAAGAAAAACAGACCAAAACACAAAAACUUAACUAUAACCACUGAACCAUGAAAAUGAGGUCAAGGUCAGAUGACACCUGCCAGUUGGACAUGUACACCUUACAGUCCUUCCAUACACCGAAUAUACAAGACCUAUUGCUUAUAGUAUCUGAGAUAUGGACUUGACCACCAAAACUUAACCUUGUUCACUGAUCCAUGAAAUGAGGUUGAGGUCAAGUGAAAACUGUCUGACGGGCAUGAGGACCUUGCAAGGUACGCACAUACCAAAUAUAGUUAUCCUAUUACUUAUAAUAAGAGAGAAUCUAACAUUACAAAAAAUCUGAACUUUUUUUUCAAGUAGUCACUGAACCAUGAAAAUGAGGUCAAGGACAUUGGACAUGUGACUGACGGAAACUUCGUAACAUGAGGCAUCCAUAUACAAAGUAUGAAGCAUCCAGACCUUCCACCUUCUAAAAUAUAAAGCUUUUAAGAAGUUAGCUAACGCCGCCGCCGCCGCCGCCGCCGCCGCCGCCGCCGCCGCCGCCGGAUCACUAUCCCUAUGUCGAGCUUUCUGCGACAAAAGUCGCAGGCUCGACAAAAAUCCUUAUUUUCGACCAAUAUUUGGCCCCUUAUUCAUAAAUGUUUGAGCAAUUAACCCCAAAACUCAAUUCCUACUUUCUCUUCGUGAUAAAAAAUAACUAACUUAAAAUGUAAAUUUUAAACAAAAAAAAAAGGAAAAAAAAAAAUUA